AUAAAUAUAUAUAUAUAUAUAUAUAUAUAUAUAUUUAUGAACCUUCUUAUAUAUACAUAUCUAAAAACAAAAGUAUAUAUAUUAUAUUUUUAUAUUUUAUAUCACACCUUGGAAGAACUUUUAAAAAUGAACUAUAUUUUAUAAUGUCUUAGGUUUGUAAGCUUCUGAAGCUAAAAAUUGUAUAUUAUUUAUAUUACACGAAAAAAAUGAAAUUAAAAAUAGGAAAUCAGAAAAAGUCUUAAUUAUAUAGGCAUAAAUAAAUAUAUGUAUAUGUAUAUAUGUAUAUAUAUAUAUAUAUAUAUAUAUAUAUAUAUAUAUAUAUAUAUAUAUAUAUUUUUUUAUUUAUAUAUUUAUAAUAAUGUUAAUUCAAAUUGUUAAUUUAUAAUAUCUACAGGAAAGGAAAAACAAAAAUAAAAAUUAAUAGUAACAACUAAAUAAUUAAUAUGUCUGUUAUGGAAGGUUCAUUAUACAAGAAUGUUUAUUAGGACAUCAUUUUUAAAUUAGUUCUUUAUUUAAUUACUAUUAUUAAAAGCAUGGAAAUUUUAUAAUCUGGUAAAAACUAUUUAAAGAAGGAAACUGAAAAAAAAAGAAAAUUUAUGUAGAAAAAAAAAA
rnacentral:sRNA from 1 species